ensembl:lncRNA
AUGGCUGAUGAGUGUCAUCUGUGUCUGCUGGGACUGAUCUUUCUCUCUUCACUUCUCACAGCUCAAACUAAUUCAACAACAUCAGUGAUUCCAGUCCACAGCACACACUCUCAGGAUCCCUCAACUACAAACACACACACAACUAAAGGUACAUCAUCAGUGUCUUCCUCACACCAGUGCUUUACAGCAGCUCUCAGAUACUGUUUUCUUCUUAAAUCAGUCUCUAGAUAUAAUGAAUUCCUCUCUGAAGACAUUAAGAGAUGGAGUACAGAAUCACUAACUGUACACUAUCAGUUUGAGAAACGGUUUAUUUGCUGGUUUAUUCUGAGCUCAGAAGAGUGUGACAGACAUUAACACAUUGAUCUCGUGGCACUCUGAUAGAGCAGCUCAUACUGUAGAUGGAAUAGAACAUCCCAAAACAAUAUGUUUGAGAGUCAUCACCUCGAUCUAUGGUAAUAAUGCUGGAGCGCUCACGUGAGAGGAGAACUCCGAAUUCAGGAAGAGAGUAGCGCACUCAUAGGCGACCCUUUUUGAUAAAGGGGAGCGCUGCUAAACUACUCAACUCAACUCAACUUUUAUUUAUAAAGCACUUUCAAAACCAUUAGAAUGGACCAAAGUGCUGUCCAUAGGUAGGCUGAUCAAUACUCUAAAAUACAUACAAACAUUAAAACAAGACACAAGAGAAUCAAACAACAAAUCACUCACAGUUCUCAGACCUAAUCAAACGGCAAAAGCUUGAUUAAAUAAAUAAGUCUUCAAUUCCA